GCUCGUUCCGAUCUGUGAUGAGUAGCUGUCACUAUAGUAAAUAACGACUCUUUCAUCUUAAGAAAUUACAGAUUCAAACAGUAAAAAUUGCCAUUUCAAUAUAUAAUCCAUAUUAUGAAGAGAAGAGGAACUCAGAUUAAAGAGAAGGGGGUCUCACUCUGGGAGAAUUUAACAUUUGAAACAGUAAAAAUUAUACUUUUAAAA